AUUGAACGCUGGCGGCAGGCCUAACACAUGCAAGUCGAGCGGAAACGAGUUAUCUGAACCUUCGGGGAACGGUAACGGCGUCGAGCGGCGGACGGGUGAGUAAUGCCUAGGAAAUUGCCCUGAUGUGGGGGAUAACCAUUGGAAACGAUGGCUAAUACCGCAUAAUGCCUACGGGCCAAAGAGGGGGACCUUCGGGCCUCUCGCGUCAGGAUAUGCCUAGGUGGGAUUAGCUAGUUGGUGAGGUAAUGGCUCACCAAGGCGACGAUCCCUAGCUGGUCUGAGAGGAUGAUCAGCCACACUGGAACUGAGACACGGUCCAGACUCCUACGGGAGGCAGCAGUGGGGAAUAUUGCACAAUGGGCGCAAGCCUGAUGCAGCCAUGCCGCGUGUGUGAAGAAGGCCUUCGGGUUGUAAAACUCUUUCAGUAGGGAUGAUAAUGACGGUACCUACAGAAGAAGCACCGGCUAACUCCGUGCCAGCAGCCGCGGUAA
rnacentral:rRNA from 1 species